AGUCGAAGUUCAAAUUACUGCUUGGGCCGUGGAUAUCUUGUUCCAGACGAUGUCUACAAGGUUAUAGUACUGUUUACUAUGAUUGUUAGGUAGUUUUGAUCAGAAGAGGAGUGGAAGAUUUAGGCU